UACGGGGGGGGGCAAGCGUUGUUCGGAAUUACUGGGCGUAAAGGGCGCGUAGGCGCCUUCUAAGUCGAACGUGAAAUCCCUGGGCUCAACCCAGGAACUGCGUCCGAUACUGGAAGGCUUGAAUCCGGGAGAGGGAUGCGGAAUUCCAGGUGUAGCGGUGAAAUGCGUAGAUAUCUGGAGGAACACCGGUGGCGAAGGCGGCUUACUGGGUCUUUUCUGACGCUGAGGCACGAAAGCCAGGGGAGCGAACGGG
rnacentral:rRNA from 1 species